rnacentral:rRNA from 1 species
UACGUAGGGGGCAAGCGUUGUCCGGAAUCAUUGGGCGUAAAGCGCGUGUAGGGGGCUCGAUAAGUCUGCUGUGAAAGUUCAGGGCUCAACCCUGAAAUGCCGGUGGAAACUGUCGGGCUAGAGUCCGGAAGAGGCGAGUGGAAUUCCUGGUGUAGCGGUGAAAUGCGCAGAUAUCAGGAGGAACACCAAUGGCGAAGGCAGCGCGCUGGGACGGUACUGACGCUGAGACGCGAAAGCGUGGGGAGCAAACAGG